rnacentral:rRNA from 1 species
UAAGGAAUAUUGGUCAAUGGACGCAAGUCUGAACCAGCCAUGCCGCGUGAAGGAUGAAGGUCCUCUGGAUUGUAAACUUCUUUUAUAGGGGACGAAAAAAGGGAAUUCUUUCUCGUCUGACGGUACCCUAGGAAUAAGCACCGGCUAACUCCGUGCCAGCAGCCGCGGUAUACGGAGGGUGCAAGCGUUAUCCGGAUUUACAGGGUUUAAAGGGAGCGUAGGUGGGUCUGUAAGUCAGUGGUGAAAUCUCCGAGCUUAACUCGGAAACUGCCAUUGAUACUAUCAGUCUUGAAUAUUGUGGAGGUCAGCGGAAUAUGUCAUGUAGCGGUGAAAUGCUUAGAUAUGACAUAGAACACCAAUUGCGAAGGCAGCUGGCUACGCAUAUAUUGACACUGAGGCACGAAAGCGUGGGGAUCAAACA